rnacentral:lncRNA from 1 species
CCCUCCCUUUCAAACUCCCAAACAAAGCCUAAGAAUAGAAAGAAAAAUCAAUAAAUUUAUUAGAUUUCUCCUAUAAAUAUUGGCAUAGAUGAUUUGAUAUUCCAGCAAUUUUUGCAUAGGCACAACACUAAAUAAAAUUUAUUUGGACACACAUACAUGAAUGAUAAAAUUUAAAAGAGAAAUAAUUUAAUCACAUUACUUAAUAUCAUUUCUAUUUUAAAUUUUAUCAUCAAUCAUGUAUGUGUGUCUAAAUAUUUUUGAUUUGAGGUUGUGCCAAAUGAAAUAUUUC